rnacentral:rRNA from 1 species
GGUUGAUCCUGCCAGUAGUUAUAUGCUUGUCUCAAAGAUUAAGCCAUGCAUGUGAAAGUUCAUCCUUUUGAAUGAGAAACUGCGAAUGGCUCAUUAAAUCAGUUAUGAUCUACGCGAGCGAACAACCACAUGGAUAACCGUGGUAAUUCUAGAGCUAAUACAUGCGUAAAGGGUCCUUCGGGAUUCGCACUUAUUAGAUAAAGCCAACGUAAGGGUAAAACCUUUCGCCUUGGUGAAUCAUAAUAAUUUGGUGAUCGUGUAUGCGACACUCGCUCGAUUUUCUGCCCUAUCAU